rnacentral:rRNA from 1 species
GGGUUCGAUCAUACCAGCAGUAAUGCACCGGAUCCCUUCAGAACUCCGCAGUUAACCGUGCCUGGGCGAGAGUAGUACUAGGAUGGGUGAUCUCCCUGGGAAGUCCUCGUGUUGCACCCC